rnacentral:rRNA from 1 species
GACGAACGCUGGCGGCGUGCCUAAUACAUGCAAGUCGAACGCAGUGGGGACGGGUGAGUAACACGUGGGUAACCUCCCAUCAGAGGGGAUAACACUUGGAAACAGGUGCUAAACCGAUACUGAUGGAUGGACCCGCGGGGCAUUAGCUAGUUGGUGAGGUAACGGCUCACCAAGGCCACGAUGCAUAGCCGACCGGAGAGGGUGAGCGGGCACACUGGGGCUGAGACCCGGCCCAGACUCCUACGGGAGUCAGCAGUAGGGAAGCUUCAGCAAGGGACGAAAGUCUGACCGAGCAAAGCCGCGUGAGUGAAGAAGGUUUUCGGAUAGUAAAACUCUGUUGUUAGAGAAGCGGUGUCUAACCAGAAAGCCAGGGCUAACUACGUGCCAGCGGACGCGGUAAUAC